ACUCCUACGGGAGGCAGCAGUGGGGAAUAUUGCACAAUGGGCGCAAGCCUGAUGCAGCCAUGCCGCGUGUAUGAAGAAGGCCUUGGGUUGUAAAGUACUUUCAGCAGUGAGGAAGGUGGGUAUGUUAAUAGCAUAUUCUAUUUGACGUUAGCUGCAGAAGAAGCACCGGCUAACUCCGUGCCAGCAGCCGCGGUAAUACGGAGGGUGCGAGCGUUAAUCGGAAUUACUGGGCGUAAAGCGCAUGCAGGUGGUUGUUAAGUCAGAUGUGAAAGCCCGGGGCUCAACCUCGGAAUUGCAUUUGAAACUGGCAAACUAGAGUACUGUAGAGGGGGUAGGAAUUUCAGGUGUAGCGGUGAAAUGCGUAGAGAUCUGAAGGAAUACCGGUGGCGAAGCGGCCCCUGGACAGAUACUGACACUCAGAUGCGAAAGCGUGGGAGCAAACAGGAUUAGAU
rnacentral:rRNA from 1 species